CUCAACGAGGGUGCUUAGACAAUCUUUGCACCCAGAGGUUACAGUAAGUCUCAAUGCCUAGUAAAUCAUUUGUGGUACCUCCAAAUUUCAUGGAAGAUCUAUUUCAGAAACCUGAGAAAAUGUUGUCGCUGUCAGUUGUAACCAUAUAACAAUGGAACAUCUUUGGGCACUUUUCUGCAGAAGUUUUACAAAAGGAAGUUGUUUCCAACUUGGAAUGUUUCACCAAAUAGUUUUUCUCAUCCCUUCUGUUAGCUGGCUAAAUGAGGGCUCACUCUUUUGCAAUCUCUCAUGGAACCUCUGCAUGGAAAUGCUCCCUAAUUAAAAGAUCAGAAAGAACAGAACAACAGCACUGAAUGAUAUCACUGUUAAGCUCUCUGCUAUGGCCUUGGAUAGCAGUGGAAGAUGGCCCAAGCCCUUGGGCCCCUGCACCUGCGUGAGAGACCUGGAAGAAGCCCUGGCUCCUGGCUUCAGAUCAGCACAGCUCCAGCCGCUGUGGCCACCUGGGGAGUGAACCAGGGGAUGGAAGACCUGUCUCUCUAUCUCCACCUCCCUCUGUAACUCUUUCAAAAAAAUAAAUAAAAUAAAUCUUUAAAAAAA